GGUUGUGGCUCAGUGGUAGAGCACUCACCUAGCACAUGCAAGGCCCUGGGUUCAAACCUCAGCACCA
rnacentral:tRNA from 1 species